rnacentral:misc_RNA from 1 species
AGCAGCCGCGGUAAUUCCAGCUCCAAUAGCGUAUAUUAAAGUUGUUGCAGUUAAAAAGCUCGUAGUUGAAUUUCGGGAUCAAAGGAUCGGUCAUGCCUUGGUAUGUACUGGUUUUAUUGGUUCUCACCUUCUAAAGAACCAUAAUGUCAUUCAUUUGAUGUUAUGGGGAAUUAGGACUGUUACCUUGAAAAAAUUAGAGUGUUUAAAGCAGGCUCACGCUUGAAUACAUUAGCAUGGAAUAAUGAAAUAGGACGUUUGAUUCUAUUUUGUUGGUUUCUAGGAUCGACGUAAUGAUUAAUAGGGAUAGUUGGGGGGCAUUAGUAUUCAAUUGUCAGAGGUGAAAUUCUUGGAUUUAUUGAAGACUAACUACUGCGAAAGCAUUUGCCAAGGAUGUUUUCAUUAAUCAAGAACGAAAGUUAGGGGAUCGAAGACGAUCAGAUACCGUCGUAGUCUUAACCAUAAACUAUGCCGACUAGGGAUCGGAUGAUGUUAAUUUUUUCAAUGACUCAUUCGGCGCCUU